GGGUCAGUAGGUUGGUCGUGCCACCGGUACGUACUGGUCUCACUGAUUCCUCCUUCCUGAAUAACCGUAAUGCCAUUAAUUUGGUGUUGCGGGGUAACAGGACUGUUAGUUUGAAAAAAUUAGAGUGUUUAAAGCAAGCUAACGCUUGAAUACAUUAGCAUGGAAUAAUGAAAUAGGACGAUCGAUCCUAUUUUGUUGGUUUCUAGGAUUGACGUA
rnacentral:rRNA from 1 species